rnacentral:lncRNA from 1 species
GGUAGGACUACAUUUUUUUUUAACAGAUUAAGUUGGUGUAGUGUAUUCUUGUUUAUCAAAAUACUAAUAAAGCUUUGGGAUUUUGAAUUGGUAAAUAUUCAUGAUGUGUCAAAAAUCAUGAUACAUACUGUACAAUCUCAGUCCCAUAAGAUGGGAUGUUGUGCCUACACACACACAGGACCUAGAAGAACAUGUCAAACUGUAAACUGCUUGUGAUUGUGAAUGACUUUGUUGUUUGCUUCUUGUGAUUUUCAGUUUCCUAUAAUGCACAUAUUAACAUAUUAACUUUUUAAAAUAAAGGUUAUUUUAAAAGCCUGUUUAAAAAAAAAAAUCACUGGAAAA